GAUGAACGCUGGCGGCGUGCCUAAUACAUGCAAGUCGAGCGAACGGACGAGAAGCUUGCUUCUCUGAUGUUAGCGGCGGACGGGUGAGUAACACGUGGAUAACCUACCUAUAAGACUGGGAUAACUUCGGGAAACCGUAGCUAAUACCGGAUAAUAUUUUGAACCGCAUGGUUCAAAAGUGAAAGACGGUCUUGCUGCCACUUAUAGAUGGAUCCGCGCUGCAUUAGCUAGUUGGUAAGGUAACGGCUUACCAAGGCAACGAUGCAUAGCCGACCUGAGAGGGUGAUCGGCCACACUGGAACUGAGACACGGUCCAGACUCCUACGGGAGGCAGCAGUAGGGAAUCUUCCGCAAUGGGCGAAAGCCUGACGGAGCAACGCCGCGUGAGUGAUGAAGGUCUUCGGAUCGUAAAACUCUGUUAUUAGGGAAGAACAUAUGUGUAAGUAACUGUGCACAUCUUGACGGUACCUAGUCAGAAAGCCACGGCUAACUACGUG
rnacentral:rRNA from 1 species